UAGAAGUGCCAAAAUAGAACCCAAACCUUGCAAUUCCCAGCUUUGUCUGAUGUAUUCCAGUGUUUGGCUGGCAGGCUAAGAAGCCCAUCACCAAAAUACUCUGUCAGGAGUAAGGCCCCGCAGCUGCACCUGCUCAGUCUCCUGAUGGCCUAGCAAGUCAACUAAGCUCCCUGAUGGACUGCUCUGCUUGAUUGGAAGGUUACAUGGAAGAGUAUGGGAUACUGCCAGUCAAACUUAGCUCUGUGUUAACUUUCUUGGACAGUGAAUUUCCCUUGUUUUUGCGGAAGUGGGAUGUGAUUGAGGACCAUCUGUCUGGGUGAGGGAUGAAGAACCAUCUAGGAAACACCUCAGUGUUACUCAACAACCAGCUCUGCCCUCUUGUCAGCCCCCUUUGGUCCUUUUAAAAUUCCAGCCCAAAUGUCAAAGGUCAAAUUUGAAAAAAAGAAAAGGGUGGUGGUACUCUUUAAAGCUCUGCUCAUGUGAAAUGCAAGAAUGAGAUGCUGCUUACAGUAAAUGGUGCAGAUACUCAAAAUAUGAUUGUGUGUGCUGCUUGGCUCCCCCUCAUUGGGGCAUCCAUAGGAUAAUGUGGUCUGGUUGGCUCCUUCUUGUUUGGCGGGGAAAAAUCUUGUUUAAGGCGGAAAAAAAAAAGUGGCAAAGUCUGCCAAACACCACCCAUUUCUGGCACCAAAAUGAGUAGUCACUUAGGCCAUGGGUGUGGUAGUUUUGGUUAUGCUCCAAUAGGUUCCCUGUUGC